rnacentral:tRNA from 4 species
CCGCCCUUAGCUCAGUUGGUAGAGCAGACGACUUAUACUCGUCUUGUCCUUGGUUCGAGUCCAAGAGGGCGGACAA